UACGGGGGGAGCAAGUGUUGUUCGGAUUUACUGGGCGUAAAGGGCGCGUAGGCGGUCAGCACAAGUCAGUUGUGAAAUCUCCGGGCUUAACUCGGAAAGGUCAAUUGAUACUGUGCGACUAGAGUGCGGAAGGGGCAACUGGAAUUCUCGGUGUAGCGGUGAAAUGCGUAGAGAUCGGGAAGAACAUCGGUGGCGAAAGCGCUCUACUGGGCCAUAACUGACACUCAGGGACGAAAGCUAGGGGAGCGAAUGGG
rnacentral:rRNA from 1 species